AUUGAACGCUGGCGGCAUGCUUUACACAUGCAAGUCGAACGGUAACAGGCCUUCGGGUGCUGACGAGUGGCGAACGGGUGAGUAAUGCAUCGGAACGUACCCAGAGGUGGGGGAUAACGCAGCGAAAGCUGUGCUAAUACCGCAUGUGAUCUGAGGAUGAAAGCGGGGGACCGAGCAGCAAUGUUUGGCCUCGCGCCUUUGGAGCGGCCGAUGUCGGAUUAGCUAGUUGGUGGGGUAAAGGCCUACCAAGGCGACGAUGCGUAGCUGGUCUGAGAGGACGACCAGCCACACUGGGACUGAGACACGGCCCAGACUCCUACGGGAGGCAGCAGUGGGGAAUUUUGGACAAUGGGCGCAAGCCUGAUCCAGCAAUGCCGCGUGCGGGAAGAAGGCCUUCGGGUUGUAAACCGCUUUUGGCAGGAACGAAACGGUGUCCGCUAAUACCGGGCGCUAAUGACGGUACCUGCAGAAUAAGCACCGGCUAACUACGUG
rnacentral:rRNA from 1 species